rnacentral:misc_RNA from 1 species
GUGAAUCAUCAAAUUUUUGAACGCAAAUUGCACUCUCUUCGGAUAGUAUGCCUGUCUGAGGGUCAGCCUAAAAAAAAUCUCCAUGUUCUCUUUUGCGCGGUGCCUUUCUGCGGAAAUUGGUGCAUCUUAAGCCUUUGGGUUUUAGGCGGCUGAAAUUUUUCUUUCCGAUUCCAGGACCGUUUUUAAAAUUUACUUCUUCAACUUUUAAGGGA